GUUGCACUGCGACGUUGGUGACUGCCAUCAAGUUUUUUGAUCUAUGUCUUUAAAGAAAAGGGAACCAACAGUUAUCGUGGCAGUAGACCGGGCAUGUACCCGGAAACUUUAAACGAGCAACAGCGGUACCCACCUGGUUUAACCAGGUCAUAAACUUAGGUAAAACGGCGUUGCGGUGAACUU
rnacentral:other from 1 species